AUUGAACGCUGGCGGCAGGCCUAACACAUGCAAGUCGAACGAGUGGCGGACGGGUGAGUAAUGUCUGGGAAACUGCCUGAUGUAGGGGGAUAACUACUGGAAACGGUAGCUAAUAGCGCAUACCAUCAGAUGUGGCAAGAUGGGAUUAGGUUGUUGGUGGGGUAACGGCUCACCAAGGCGACGAUCCCUAGCUGGUCUGCGAGGAUGAACAGCCACACGGGAACUGAGACACGGUCCAGACUCCUACGGGAGGUAGCAGUGGGGAAUAUUGCACAAUGGGAGCAAGCCUGAUGCAGCCAUGCCGCGUGUAUGAAGAAGGCCUUCGGGUUGUAAAGUACUUUCAGCGGGGAGGCGGUACCCGCAGAAGAAGCACCGGCUAACUCCGUGCCAGCAGCCGCGGUAAUAC
rnacentral:rRNA from 1 species